GAUCUCAGAUUUCAAGGCCAUCCUCCACUACACAGUAUGUUCCAGGCUGACGAGAGCAACACAACAAAAGCCAAUUUCAAAAGGAGAAGAAAAAGAAAGAGUAGUAGUAGGAGAACAAGGUUAGAGUACCGAGAAUAAGCAAGCAUCCCUUAUACACCAUGCGUUCCAGUUUUACUUGUAUCUGGUAACGAUGUCCUGAAGAUAUGUGCCUGUUUAUCAGCGUCAGUGUCACCUGCAGUACUCCCUCAGUCUGUAGAGAGUGAAUCCGAUAAAUGAACUGUGGAAUAUUUGCACAAGAGAAAAUUACAGAGCCAUGAAAUGAGCCGAUUUCUGUUACACGGAGUGAUUGAGGCAAAUUAAUCACAGAAACACAACUCUGGAUAAAGUAACAGACAGAAAAUAAUUUCAUAUAUAAUCACAGGUACAGGCAGCACCAAGGCUGGAGUUAGAGUUAGAAGAUCCUCUUUGAACACAGCGGCAGUCCCGAGGCGUGGGAUAUGGCAGUUUGGUACCCGAGGAAAUCCCAGGAGCUGGAUGGUCACUUCCUGGUCCUCUGGCAUUUUUUCUAAAAGCUACAUAAAGGAAGCUGGAGACACUUGUCUGGAAUCCAUCACGAGGCUCUCAGUGAGACAUGCGAGGGUAUGGCAAGAAUCAGGAAUGGACCUACCUCUGAAGCCGCGUGCACAGAGGAGGAUCUAGAAAACUGGCCUUGCUCAGGACCUCCUGCACUUAUUACUGUGGGACGGCACCUCCGGGUUUACCCAGUCCUCUCUAACUAUCCGUCCUCACCACGCCAAGGUGCACAGCACAUCAGGUGCCCUCUCUUCCUUUGUGAGGGAUAGGAAAUGAACUUGGGGGCCUGCUUUUCACUCUCCACUCUGAGUUUUUUGUGAUGGUAUCUCAGCCAUGAAGUGAAUCUCAUUCCUUUUCACGGAGCAGCUCAUUCCGCAGGAUAACAAAGACCUACAGCAACACAUGACAAAUGACAAGGAAAGAACAAAAAACCUACGUCUCAUGUUUAAUUGUAUCAUGUCCACCUGAAUACGUUGAAAUGAAGAUUUCUAGAUUCAACUCAUACUCAGAGAACAGUGACAGAGAAAUGACUUAAUCCUGUUUUACAUUCUUCGACUAGAGAAUACCAUGCAUUGGUCAAUCUUAACUAGUGAAACCUAACUAAUAAAAGGCCUUGGAUGUAGCAGGGGAGAGCUACAUCUGAA